CCCUUAGAUGUUCUGGGCCGCACGCGCGCUACACUGACGGAGUCAACGAGUUGUCCUGCAUCGGAAGGUGUGGGUAAUCUUUUGAAACUUCGUCGUGCUGGGGAUAGAUCUUUGCAAUUUUCGAUCUUGAACGAGGAAUUCCUAGUAAGCGUGAUUCAUCAGAUCGCGUUGAUUACGCCCCUGCCCUUUGUACACACCGCCCGUCGCUACUACCGAUUGAAUGGUUUAGUGAGGCCUCGGGACUGGCGCGCUCGAGUAGCAAUACACCUGCGCGCCGGGAACUUGGUCAAACUUGAUCAUUUAGAGGAAGUAAAAGUCGUAACA
rnacentral:rRNA from 1 species